GGGAAUUUUGGGCAAUGGGCGAAAGCCUGACCCAGCAACGCCGCGUGAGGGAUGAAGUAUUUCGGUAUGUAAACCUCGAAAGAAUGGGAAGAAUAAAUGACGGUACCAUUUAUAAGCUCCGGCUAACUACGUGCCAGCAGCCGCGGUAAUACGUAGGGAGCAAGCGUUGUUCGGAUUUACUGGGCGUAAAGGGCGCGUAGGCGGCGCGGUAAGUCACUUGUGAAAUCUCUGAGCUUAACUCAGAACGGCCAAGUGAUACUGCUGUGCUAGAGUGCGGAAGAGGCAACCGGAAUUCUUGGUGUAGCGGUGAAAUGCGUAGAUAUCAAGAGGAACACCGGAGGCGAAGGCGGGUUGCUGGGCCGACACUGACGCUGAUGCGCGAAAGCCAGG
rnacentral:rRNA from 1 species